rnacentral:rRNA from 1 species
CUCAGAUGCGAAAGCGUGGGGAGCAAAACAGGAUUAGAUACCCUGGUAGUCCACGCCGUAAACGAUGUCUACUUGGAGGUUGUGGCCUUGAGCCGUGGCUUUCGGAGCUAACGCGUUAAGUAGACCGCCUGGGGAGUACGGUCGCAAGAUUAAAACUCAAAUGAAUUGACGGGGGCCCGCACAAGCGGUGGAGCAUGUGGUUUAAUUCGAUGCAACGCGAAGAACCUUACCUACUCUUGACAUCCAGAGAAGCCAGCGGAGACGCAGGUGUGCCUUCGGGAGCUCUGAGACAGGUGCUGCAUGGCUGUCGUCAGCUCGUGUUGUGAAAUGUUGGGUUAAGUCCCGCAACGAGCGCAACCCUUAUCCUUGUUUGCCAGCGAGUCAUGUCGGGAACUCCAGGGAGACUGCCGGUGAUAAACCGGAGGAAGGUGGGGACGACGUCAAGUCAUCAUGGCCCUUACGAGUAGGGCUACACACGUGCUACAAUGGCGCAUACAGAGGGCAGCAAGCUAGCGAUAGUGAGCGAAUCCCAAAAAGUGCGUCGUAGUCCGGAUUGGAGUCUGCAACUCGACUCCAUGAAGUCGGAAUCGCUAGUAAUNGUGAAUCAGAAUGUCACGGUGAAUACGUUCCCGGGCCUUGUACACACCGCCCGUCACACCAUGGGAGUGGGCUGCAAAAGAAGUGGGUAG